rnacentral:rRNA from 1 species
UACGUAGGCAGCAAGCGUUGUUCGGAAUUACUGGGCGUAAAGGGCGCGUAGGCGGCAUGACAAGUCACUUGUGAAAUCUCUGGGCUUAACCCAGAACGGCCAAGUGAUACUGUCGCGCUAGAGUGCAGAAGGGGCAAUCGGAAUUCUCGGUGUAGCGGUGAAAUGCGUAGAUAUCGAGAGGAACACCAGAGGUGAAGACGGGUUGCUGGGCUGACACUGACGCUGAGGCGCGAAAUGCCCAGGGGAGCAAACGG